AGUGAACGCUGGCGGUAGGCCUAACACAUGCAAGUCGAACGGCAGCACAGUAAGAGCUUGCUCUUACGGGUGGCGAGUGGCGGACGGGUGAGGAAUACAUCGGAAUCUACUUUUUCGUGGGGGAUAACGUAGGGAAACUUACGCUAAUACCGCAUACAACCUACGGGUGAAAGCAGGGGAUCUUCGGACCUUGCGCGAUUGAAUGAGCCGAUGUCGGAUUAGCUAGUUGGCGGGGCAAAGGCCCACCAAGGCGACGAUCCGUAGCUGGUCUGAGAGGAUGAUCAGCCACACUGGAACGGAGACACGGUCCAGACUCCUACGGGAGGCAGCAGUGGGGAAUAUUGGACAAUGGGCGCAAGCCUGAUCCAGCCAUACCGCGUGGGUGAAGAAGGCCUUCGGGUUGUAAAGCCCUUUUGUUGGGAAAGAAAAGCAGCAGGUUAAUACCCCGCUGUUCUGACGGUACCCAAAGAAUAAGCACCGGCUAACUUCGUG
rnacentral:rRNA from 1 species